UAUUGAAAAUAAGACCCUAAAUUCCUUUUGACUGAAAGGAAGUUAUCAGACAAGAUGCAAUUUUCUCUUUCUUUACUGACAACUCUGUCAUCCAAAGGAUCACAGCCAUGUCAGGGUGUCUGUCUUAGAAAGAAAAAAAAGAGAGAGAGAGAGAGAGAGAGCUAGUGAGAGAAGCCCUGAUGCGCGUGGCCAUCUUUGCAUCAAAAUUUUCCAGACCUCUAUUUUUGAUUGUGAUCCCACUGAUCUGAGUUUGAAAUGCGAACGCAGUGAAGCCCCUAAGCCUUCAAUCGUGUGAAAUUUUCAAAAGAUCUCUAGAAGCAAUCUCAGGCUGCCUGACCCCUGACAGGCACCGAUCUCUUUAUUCCUCUCUCUGCCAGCACUUCAUUUGUCGGAAUAUCUUUCAGAUUUGCACCUCCAGAUGACAAACCUGAGUGUUUAUUAUGUGUACAUGAAUCGGAAAUCUUCAAGCCCGGACAAAAGCACCAUUUUAAACAUAAUAUUUAAUUUCCCAGCCUAAGUGUCUGCUUCUUUAUUUGCUUUUCAUUAGCUUAAAUAUUUUUUCCAAGUCUCCCCAUGUGUCACUUUGAUAUUUAGAUGAUUCUCUCUUCUAAUCGUCAUUUCCCCCUUGAAAAAUCCCCUGUUGCCCGCGACUGCUGGGCUCACACGGCAACGUCACCGUGCGGCCGUUGGCGAGGACUCAGCUCGACGCACAGCAGUUCAGGGAGCGCGGGGUGGGGGGCGCGUCUCCAGACAAGGUAAGGGCCGGAGGGCUGCCAAAGAAAGACUUGCUUUUUAAGCCAGAGGCCAGGGCUGGGCCCAAGGCAGUGAAGACUUUCCCAUCUCACUCCACCCUUCUCCUUCAGGCCUUUUUAAUUCCCCGUAUUACUUUUGAAAAAAAAAACAAAACCCUCAGGCGUCUUGAGGACGUGCUGGGGGCAGUUUUAGCUGACUCGAGUGUGCUCAGCUGCUGGCCCUCUGAGCGUGGGCGCCAGGUUUAGCCAUUCCACCCGAAACAGUCAGACUCAUUCCUGUCUCGGGACUUGUUUUUCCGCCUGCCUUUCUGUGGGUACCUAAAUCCUGGGAGCUUGAGGGCACUAGAGGGAAAGGGGAUGGGGGACGCUUCUUGAAAGAGGGCUGCUUUGUGAAAAUGCCCCAUGCCAAAUAAUUCCAGGGACAAGCCUUUGGGGUCGAGAUGCCGCCCACCCCUCCCCCAACCUCAGCCCCAGAUCGGGGCUUUAGAGCCCAGCCCAGCACCCAGGUGGACUGGGUUGAGACAGGGACGAGCUCCAGCUCUGCAGAACCCAGGGGUGACUCGCCACUCUCAAGCACAGUCCCAGGUCGAGAGGUGGUCGGCUGAAGCCUGAACCCCCCUCCCUGUGUGUUUGGAUGGGCCGUGUUGCUAUGAUUAACUUAUUAAACCCCCUGAUAAUUAUUUUAAUUUGACUCGAAAAAAUACUUUGGGCGGCGUUGUGAUGUGUUUGUAUUUAUCCAUCCCCCCUAUAAAACCUGUGUUAAAACAAAUGUUACUUUUCUCUCUCUGUACAUAGACCCUCCCUUUUUGAAAUAGACCGCAGGGACUGCCAUUAGAUCGAAUGGCAAGUCUUUAUGGAAAGUGUUUUGCAUAAUUACAUACCAAAGCCAGAACAGUCACCUCCACAUUUUAUGGGUCACAAACCAUCAACAAUUGCCACAUUAUUGUCCACGAAACCUUAGUCCCUUCAUUGAUGGAGCGGACUCCACUGCGCCUAAUCUAGAACGGGAGAGGAUGGAAAUUUCUUCUAAUAAGAACCUGAGAAGAUUAUGUCCCCACUGACAACGUGUUUACAUAUAGUUAUAAAGUUCAGAGGACCGACCGAGAGAGGAAAGGAAAUCGGACUAGGCCUGAUUAAGAACGGCGCAUCGGUCUAAUAUAGAUAGCGCAUCAAAAGCAGCGGCUGAAUGCCUCUCCCCUUUUCAGAUCCGACCCCUUUUCUACCUUUGUGAUGCAGUAAUUAAGAUAUUCUUAUUUAGACAGACAGCUUCUCUGGUAACUGAAUAAUAUUAGCUCCUUUGAUGUCAAACUUUUGACAGUUAUCACACCAGCACUGGGCAAUUUAGCACAAAUGCCCUCCAAAAAAAAAAAAAAAAAAAAAGAUAGAAAACCCCCAUCGGCUUUGAAGAAAUCUAAUAAGUGUGAUCCUUAUCACCAAAUGAUUUAAAUCGCCGCCGACAGACCGCCUAGCUAUAAAUUACAUUCGGUGGUACAUAAUGAAGCCGAAUUUGGGUUUUAGCUCAUUGAGGAAGCAUUGGUGGAAAGUGGGGCCGGAGCCCCACACUUAACAGCUCCCCCAUUCCAGACACCCAGAACUGCUGCCCAGUGCGACAGAAAAACCCCACAGUCUACCGGGUCAGGGCAGGGAUGGAGCAGAGGUGGGGGCAGGUGCGGGCAGAGCCCACGGCCCUUGCCCCAGCUCCGGAGAGUCCGGCAGGACCAGCCACCUACUCCCGGGAUGAGCCGUCGCUGUUGCUUUCCGAGCUUGGUCACCAAAUUUGGGAUUUGCCAGAUGGCAGGAUUAUCUUCGCGUCUGUUAUAUUAUGUGUGUGUUGAGGGGGAGCGGGGGUGGAGAGCGAAGACAGGGAAGUCCAGAGACCGCGCUGGUUUCUUUGAAAUACACGCAUGUUCCCUCUUUGCCCACUCCCGGGCUGCCGCCGCCGGGACCCUUACCGGAGUUCCUGGCACCUCGGAGCGGCCCCACGGCAGGCAGCAGGCGGAGCCUCUGCCACCCCUGCCCUUGGGUGCCGGCCCCCUGCCCGCAUCUCUAGACCUGGGGCCCUGUGCCCAGAUGCGAGGAGCUGGGGUUUGGGAGUGCGAAUGUGAGAACCUCCCCCAGAGGAGAAAGGGGGGAGGUAUGAGAGUUGGAAGGGAAGGGGGCAAAGAGGGCGGGUUAGGAAGGAUGGGGCUGUGACAGUGGCACCUGGAAGGCAUUGUCCUAACGAGCGACACCUGUCAAUCUCCGCUCCGGGGUCCCGGGGCCGGGGGCGGGGAGGCCGCGGGUCUCUGUGGUGAUGUCAUCUCAGCGUCCUUUCCCGGCUAAGGGCGGGAAGGCUGGGAGGGGCGCGGAGCUAGGAGAAGGAUGGGGGAGGAAAAGAGAAAAUAAACAGAAGUCGCUCUCACUCGCCACAUCCUCGGUUCGCAAUUUACAGGGAAAUCAAUAAUCCAACUUUAAUGUUAUUUCUAAUCUUGAUUGAUCGUCUUGCCUUUUCACUGGGGAUGGAGAAAUAGGGUUGCUGCAUCUCAUCCCACAACCCACACAAUCGUUGGGGAAGUCUUGUGGCCCCAAAGCUCUAAGUGACCGACUCUUCUAGACCCCGCUCCCCUCUUUCCCUGGCGGUUGUUCCAAGCUUUAGGCUUAAAGAGGAAACACUUGGAGAUGAGUUUUGAAAGUCUUCCGAUAUUGCAGGGGGCAGGGAGGGGAGUUAAUUAACGCUGGGCUUGCUCAGCGAGUGGCAGAGGGGACUCGGCGUGGGUGGGCGGGCCAGGUGGAACGCUGGGGAGCGCAGUGCGGGAGGCUUGUGAGCCCGAAGCCCCUGCUUGGAGGCCCAGGCUGGGGGGAGGUGGUCUGCGGUGGCCUGGGCCGGGGGUGCGGGGCGCCACCAACCUCUCCCUCUUUCUAUUCUUUUCGGUCGAGCUAAUUAGCAGCCUGCCAGCGGCCUGAUUUAUGGAAACGUUCGGGCGGGCGGAGACCCGCCGCUAGCCUAGCCAGGCUGCCUCGGGGCGGAGUGGAGGAGGAGUCUCGACCGGCCCCCUCCGUUGAGUUUCCCUUCUCGGGGUCGGAAAAUGGAAGUUGCUGGUCCCCUACCGCCGUCACCCGGGCCGGUCUAGGAGACCCCCACGCCCUCGCUGCCCCAGCCUGGGGUGCGGGAAGCCCUGGCGCUAGUGGAGAGGACAGAGGCCGGUGGCCACACAGCCUGCUGCGGACACCCGAGGCCGCCAGGUUCCAGCUCCAGCUAACUCUGAGGGCGGGCUGGACGCCGAUAGAGCUCGAGCCUCCUAUGCCCGAGCUGGGCGCCUAGCUUCCCGCAUCCAGGUCCCCAGAGAGGGGAAAUUAGACCUGCAAGGGGAGGGGUGCUGCCUGAGAUCGGCUUCACCUCUCCGCACCCCUCCAAGGCCGCAGAGAGUCACUAGGCCAGGGUGGGGCCCAAUGAAGCCACCGGCCCUGCUGGCCCGGGAGUAGCUGGCUAGCGCCUGGGGAGGGCGAGGUUCUCUCCACUUUCCCUCCCGUGCACUUUCUCCAGGGGCGCAUCCUCAGAGGGCUCCUCUGAGUCAGAGUCCUCAACCAAGAGUUGGAAUUUCUCCGAGGCGAGUGCAGGUCACAGGCCAUUUCUGGAGCCACCCGGCGGGGCAUUUGCCCGAACACCCGGCACAGUCUCCUCGCCAACUUCGGGCUGCUUUGGAUAGUCAAGGGGGAGAGGGGUCGAGGAGUAUUCCCUCUUUGCCAU
rnacentral:lncRNA from 1 species